rnacentral:lncRNA from 1 species
CUCUGCCUUGCUACAGUCCUCUGUGGCUAUUUAAGCCAUCCCCCACGGAAACUAGCCGUUAGACACCUUUUUCUGCCCGUUCUGCACACUCUGCACAACCUGACAAUAUGUCCGUUGGGGGUCGGAGUCGACUCGCGCGAUCAGGAGUCGACUCGGCUGUAGCGGGAGUCGACUCAUGCUUUUCUGGAGUCGACUCGGCAACUGUUCCGGAUUUGAAUUAAAGUGGCCUCUUCGACUGGGAGUCGACUCGACUUGACC